UGGCCAUAAUGCGCUAAACUCUGAAAACCAGCCAGGCUUAAUAGAGUCGGAGCUUCCCAGUAGCUCGUUGCCAUUGUCAUGGCUGAUUGUCCCGUUCUGUUGUUCGGAUGUCCCAUUCUGGUGGCCGUUCCGAUGUUCGAAAGUGCCAUUCUGGUGCCCGUUUUGGUGUUUGGAAGUGCCAUUCUGGUAGCCGUUGAGGUGUUCAGAAGUGCCAUUUUGGUGGCCGUUCAUGGGAAUGGCACCAUUCUUGAAGAUGGUAGAGCCAUUUGUGUUGGUAGAUAUGACUUCCAUUUUCAAAAUUAAACUAAACAAAUUGAAGAAGAGAAAGUAUUAUGGUUUGUAUUUUCCGAAAGCUUGCUGU
rnacentral:lncRNA from 1 species